rnacentral:lncRNA from 1 species
GCCUAUUAGGAGGUUGGAAUGGUUGGGCCGAUGUGGGCUUAAAAAGGAUUAUGAAGAUGAAGAGGGGGUCAGCCCAUGAAGCGCAUGAAAAUAGUACGAAUCGUACUUGUAAAUAUUCAUUUUCUGUUUAGAUUUGGGGAUAGAGUUCUAGUCGGAUAAGAAGUUUUUCUGUUUAAAUUUAGAGAUAGAGUUCUAGUCGGAUCAGAAGUCGUUUGUACGGGGCUAUAAAUAAGCCACCCUUAUGGAUCUGUAAACACAAUCAACUCAAUACAACAAGCUACUUUUUCCUCAUACUUACUUUCAAGCAGGCGACUUCGCCAAUACCUUUUCUCCUUUUUCACGAGUUCGUACGGGUUGGCGGGGCUGCAUCAACUUGACCUCCGGCCGAUCU